CCGGAACAAGGACGGGACAGCUGAAUUGGUCAUCUUGCAUGAAAAGAGAGACAAGGAGAUUUGAGGUUGAAAGGAUCUUCUACCAAACUAGUGAAACUGCUGACUGAUCGGGACCAACCCAGUUUUCACCAAGACUACUUUCUUCGUCAAGCUUUAGUGGAACCGACCAGAUUGGAACGUGAUGAUUGUUUCGAAUUUUGACCUACUCAUCUUUUUCAU